AUGGCCUGGGCCCCUCUGCUCCUCGCGCUGCUCACGUACUGCUCGGGUUCUCUCGCCCAGUACGUGCUGACUCAGCCGCCUUCAGUGUCUGUGUCUCCAGAGCAAAAUGCUCAACUGACCUGUUCAGGAAACAACAUUGGUAGCAAGAGUGUGCACUGGUACCAACAGAAACCUGGCAGUGCCCCCGUACUCGUUAUACAUAGUGAUAGCAGCAGACCCUCCGGAAUCCCUGAUCAAUUCUCUGGGGCCAACUCCGGUAACACGGCCACGUUAACCAUCACUGGAGUCCAGGCGCAGGACGAGGCUGAUUAUUACUGUCAGGUGUAG